CCUACGGGAGGCAGCAGUAAGGAAUAUUUGUCAAUGGACGGAAGUCUGAACCAGCCAUGCCGCGUGCAGGAAGACGGCUCUAUGAGUUGUAAACUGCUUUUGUACAAAGGUAAACCUGAAUACGUGUAUUCAGCUGAAAGUACUGUACGAAUAAGGCUCGGCGAAAUCCGUGACAGAAGCCGCGGUAAUACGGAGGAUCAAAGCGUUAUCGGGAUUGAUUGGGUUUAAAGGGUGGGUAGGCGGAUUGAUAAGUUAGAGGUGAAAUGUCCGGGGUUAAAUCGGGAACUGCCUGUAAUACGGUUGAUCUAGAGAGUAGAUGCGGUAGGCGGAAUGUAUGGUGUAGGGGUGAAAUGCUUAGAGAUCAUACAGAACACCGAUUGCGAAGGCAGGUUACCAAUAUAUAUCUGACGUUGAGGCACGAAAGCGUGGGGAGCAAACAGGAUUAGAUACCCUAGUAGUC
rnacentral:rRNA from 1 species